GAUGAACGCUGGCGGCGUGCCUAAUACAUGCAAGUCGAGCGAACAGACGAGGAGCUUGCUCCUCUGACGUUAGCGGCGGACGGGUGAGUAACACGUGGAUAACCUACCUAUAAGACUGGGAUAACUUCGGGAAACCGGAGCUAAUACCGGAUAAUAUAUUGAACAGCAUGGGUCAAUAGUGAAAGACGGUUUUGCUGUCACUUAUAGAUGGAUCCGCGCCGCAUUAGCUAGUUGGUAAGGUAACGGCUUACCAAGGCAACGAUGCGUAGCCGACCUGAGAGGGUGAUCGGCCACACUGGAACUGAGACACGGUCCAGACUCCUACGGGAGGCAGCAGUAGGGAAUCUUCCGCAAUGGGCGAAAGCUUGACGGAGCAACGCCGCGUGAGUGAUGAAGGUCUUCGGAUCGUAAAACUCUGUUAUUAGGGAAGAACAAAUGUGUAAGUAACUAUGCACGUCUUGACGGUACCUAAUCAGAAAGCCACGGCUAACUACGUG
rnacentral:rRNA from 1 species